UGCAUAUCAAUAAGCGGAGGAAAAGAAACCAACAGGGAUUGCCCCAGUAGCGGCGAGUGAAGCGGCAAGAGCUCAGAUUUGAAAUCGUGUUUCGGCACGAGUUGUAGAGUGUAGGCGGGAGUCUCUGUGGAGCGCGGUGUCCAAGUCCCUUGGAACAGGGUGCCUGAGAGGGUGAGAGCCCCGUAGGGUGCUGCGCGAAGCUUUUGAGGCCCUGCUGACGAGUCGAGUUGUUUGGGAAUGCAGCUCCAAGCGGGUGGUAAAUUCCAUCUAAGGCUAAAUAUUGGCGAGAGACCGAUAGCGAACAAGUACUGUGAAGGAAAGAUGAAAAGCACUUUGAAAAGAGAGUGAAACAGCACGUGAAAUUGUUGAAAGGGAAGGGUAUUGGGCUCGACAUGGGGGGUGCGCACCGCUGUCUCUUGUAGGCGGCGCUCUGGGCGCCCUCUGGGCCAGCAUCGGUUCCUGCUGCGGGAGAAGGGGCUCCGGAAAGUGGCUCUUCGGAGUGUUAUAGCCGGGGCCAGAUGCCGCGUGUGGGGACCGAGGACUGCGGCUUCUGUCUCGGAUGCUGGCAUAACGGCGCAAUACCGCCCGUCUUGAAACACGGACCA
rnacentral:rRNA from 1 species